GAUGGCCUAGUGGUUAGAGCAACCGCCUCGGAUAAGGGAGGUCGUGGGUUCGAACCCCAACCAAGUCA